rnacentral:rRNA from 1 species
GUCGAGAAUCAUUCGCAAUGGGGGAAACCCUGACGGUGCGACGCCGCGUGGAGGAAGAAGGCCCUCGGGUUGUAAACUCCUGUCAAGAGAGAGUAACGCUAUGUAAAUAGCUUGAGAGUAUCUCUAGAGGAAGGGGCGGCUAACUCCGUGCCAGCAGCCGCGGUAAUACGGAGGCCCCAAGCGUUGUUCGGAUUUAUUGGGCGUAAAGGGUGCGUAGGCGGCAUCUUAAGUCUGGUGUGAAAGGCGCGGGCUCAACCUGCGGACUGCAUUGGAUACUGGGAUGCUAGAGGACUGGAGAGGAGAAUGGAAUUCACGGUGGAGCAGUGAAAUGCGUAGAUAUCGUGAGGAAGGCCAGUGGCGAAGGCGAUUCUCUGGACAGUACCUGACGCUGAGGCACGAAGGCUGGGGGAGCGAACAGGAUUAGAUACCCCGGUAGUCC